ACGCCGGGGCUGUGGGAAUAAGAUGGCGGGGAAGAAGAAUGUUCUGUCGUCCCUCGCGGUUUACGCGGAAGAUUCAGAGCCCGAGUCUGAUGGCGAGGCUGGAAUCGAGGCGGUGGGCAGCGCGGCUGAGGAGAAAGGCGGAUUGGUAUCUGAUGCCUAUGGGGAGGAUGACUUUUCUCGUCUAGGGGGUGAUGAAGAUGGUUAUGAAGAAGAAGAAGAUGAGAACAGUAGACAGUCGGAAGAUGACGAUUCAGAGACUGAAAAACCUGAGGCUGAUGACCCAAAGGAUAAUACAGAAGCAGAAAAGCGAGACCCCCAGGAACUCGUGGCCUCCUUUUCUGAAAGAGUUCGGAACAUGUCGCCUGAUGAAAUCAAGAUCCCGCCAGAACCCCCUGGCAGAUGUUCAAAUCACUUGCAAGACAAGAUCCAGAAGCUUUAUGAACGAAAGAUAAAGGAGGGAAUGGAUAUGAACUACAUUAUCCAAAGGAAGAAAGAAUUUCGGAACCCUAGGUAAGUUUCCCUUGAGUCUGCAGAGUUUAUUGAGUUAUUAAUGUUGGGCUAAGGACUAAGACGUCCCCAAGGAGGUGGUGAGGAAAAGCCCUGAGCCCAAACCAUCACCCAGACUUGUCAUUACACUGAGUGCCUGCUGGACAUGGCAGACUGUGCUAACCUAGCCAGAGGCUUGCCAUUUAAGAUCCAGACAAAACACAAAGCAAUCCAUACCGAGGAUGAGGGAGACCUGGCUGAGUUCUCGUCCCUGCUCUGAGCCUAAAGCACAUGACCUCUCAAGGCCCCUGUCCUCAUGGAAGGAAUUGGACUAGACAAUUACUGUAGGUUCAUCUUCCAACUCUAAAAAGCUGAUUUUUGCGUAUAGGUGAGAGGUCUUAGGACCAGAGCUAUGUCUGGUCUUGCUCCAUUUAAUGCUCAAGCUAGUGACAUACAGGGGAAAGAGCAUGGCCCUUGUGUGGGUCUGAGUGUGGUAAGCCCAAUCCAGCUAUGCAGACUGAAGGUCAGUGAGACAAAACUCAGCCAUCACCUUGACCCCAUGCUCCUCCCGGCCCCUAGUUAACAGGUCCAUCUCCCUGG
rnacentral:sRNA from 1 species